CCCUUUGGGGUGUGACUGCGUACCUUUUGUAUAAUGGGUCAGCGACUUAUAUUCUGUAGCAAGGUUAACCGAAUAGGGGAGCCGGAGGGAAACCGAGUCUUAACCGGGCGUUAAGUUGCAGGGUAUAGACCCGAAACCCGGUGAUCUAGCCAUGGGCAGGUUGAAGGUUGGGUAACACUAACUGGAGGACCGAACCGACUAAUGUUGAAAAAUUAGCGGAUGACCUGUGGCUGGGGGUGAAAGGCCAAUCAAACCGGGAGAUAGCUGGUUCUCCCCGAAAGCUAUUUAGGUAGCGCCUCGUGAAUUCAUCUCCGGGGGUAGAGCACUGUUUCGGCUAGGGGGCCAUCCCGGCUUACCAACCCGAUGCAAACUGCGAAUACCGGAGAAUGUUAUCACGGGAGACACACGGCGGGUGCUAACGUCCGUCGUGAAGAGGGAAACAACCCAGACCGCCAGCUAAGGUCCCAAAGUCAUGGUUAAGUGGGAAACGAUGUGGGAAGGCCCAGACAGCCAGGAUGUUGGCUUAGAAGCAGCCAUCAUUUAAAGAAAGCGUAAUAGCUCACUGGUCGAGUCGGCCUGCGCGGAAGAUGUAACGGGGCUAAACCAU
rnacentral:rRNA from 1 species